CGGCAAUAGCUCAAAUUUGAAAGCUGGCGUCUUCGACGUCCGCGUUGUAAUUUGUAGAGGAUGCUUCGGCGAAGACUCCUGCCUAAGUCCCCUGGAACGGGGCGUCAUAGAGGGUGAGAAUCCCGUAUGUGGCGGGCAGUCUAAGCCAUGUGAAGCUCCUUCGACGAGUCGAGUUGUUUGGGAAUGCAGCUCUAAAUGGGAGGUAAAUUUCUUCUAAAGCUAAAUAUUGGCCAGAGACCGAUAGCGCACAAGUAGAGUGAUCGAAAGAUGAAAAGCACUUUGGAAAGAGAGUUAAAAAGUACGUGAAAUUGUUGAAAGGGAAGCGCUUGCAACCAGACUCGCUCGUAGUUGCUCAGCCGGCCUCUUGGCCGGUGUACUCUUCUACGAUCGGGCCAGCAUCAGUUCGGGCGGCAGGAUAAAGGUGUCGGGAAUGUAGCACCCUUCGGGGUGUGUUAUAGCCCGGCGCGGAAUGCUGCCAGCCUGGACUGAGGAUCUCGCUUCGGCAAGGAUGCUGGCGUAAUGGUUGUAAGCGGCC
rnacentral:rRNA from 1 species